AACUAGGGAUUAGAUACCCUAUUAUUAAAAUUAAAAUAAAAAUGCUAAAAUAGUAUAUAAUUAUUUAUUGAAACUUAAAUAAUUUGGCGGUAUUUUAGUUCAUUUAGGGGAAUCUGUUUAAUAAUUGAUAAUCCACGAUUAAAUUUACUUAAUUAAGAAUUUUAUAUAUCGUUGUUAAAAAAAUAUUUUUAAUAAAAAAUAAUAUUUAAAAAUUAAAAUAAAAAAUUAAUUCAGAUCAAGAUGUAGAUUAUAAUUAAGAAUAUAAUGGAUUACAAUAAAAUUAUUUAAAUGAAUAUAUUAUUGGAAAAUGAUAUUGAAGGGGAUUUAAAUGUAAUUUUAUUUAAUUUCUUGGAUGCUCAUC
rnacentral:rRNA from 1 species